rnacentral:rRNA from 1 species
UCAGUGGUGAAAUCCUUCCGCUUAACGGGAGAACGGCCAUUGACACUGUUAGACUUGAAUUAUUAGGAAGUAACUAGAAUAUGUAGUGUAGCGGUGAAAUGCUUAGAGAUUACAUGGAAUACCAAUUGCGAAGGCAGGUUACUACUAAUGGAUUGACGCUGAUGGACGAAAGCGUGGGUAGCGAACAGGAUUAGAUACCCUGGUAGUCCACGCCGUAAACGAUGGAUACUAGCUGUUCGGAGCAAUCUGAGUGGCUAAGCGAAAGUGAUAAGUAUCCCACCUGGGGAGUACGUUCGCAAGAAUGAAACUCAAAGGAAUUGACGGGGGCCCGCACAAGCGGUGGAGCAUGUGGUUUAAUUCGAUGAUACGCGAGGAACCUUACCAAGGCUUAAAUGUAGAUUGACCGGUUUGGAAACAGAUCUUUCGCAAGACAAUUUACAAGGUGCUGCAUGGUUGUCGUCAGCUCGUGCCGUGAGGUGUCAGGUUAAGUCCUAUAACGAGCGCAACCCCUGUUGUUAGUUACCAGCGAGUCAUGUCGGGAACUCUAACAAGACUGCCAGUGCAAACUGUGAGGAAGGUGGGGAUGACGUCAAAUCAUCACGGCCCUUACGCCUUGG